GUUCAGGAAGCUAGAAGUCCUAGAUUUUGGCAGAAUUGGUUCCUUCCGCGGGCUGUGGGGGAGGAUCUGUUCCUUGCCGCUCCCAGCUUCUGAUGGUUUGCUGGCAAUCCUUGGUGUCCCUUGGCCUCUGCUGCAUCACCCCAGUCUCUGCCUUCAUCUUCACAUGGUACUUAGCCUAUGUGCAUGUCUUUGUGUUCAGAUUUCCCCUUUUUAUAUGUACAACAAUCGAAUUAGGGGGCCACCCUAUGCCAAUAAGACCUCAUCUUAAUUAUAUCUGCAACAACCUCAUUUUCCAAAUAAGGGCACAUUUUGAGGUACUAGGGGCUAGGACUUCAACAUAUGAUUUUUGGUGGAAGGGACACAAUUCGACCCAUAACACCAUGGAAGCCUCUAUUCUAACUAGUGGACCACAAAGGCUUUUUAGGUCUCAGCAUUUGUGCUGGCUUAGGGCCAGUUUCCAAGUAAUCCCUAAAGGCCUGGGCAUUUCCAUUUCCCUAAGCACACAUGCAUAGUUACAUGGCUUAAGAUCCCUUUGGGGAAAACGAGAAGAUUUAUGAUAUAGUUAUGGUGGUAUUGCUGGGUGCUUCCUCCAGAGUACCCUGCACCCCCUUUUUCAAGGGCUUCAGCUCUGAGAAUUGUCUGUAAAUCUCCAUUUUGGUGACUCAAAACAGGCCUCUAUUUGCCAGACCUGAAGAUUUGUUUUGCGUUCUAUAAGCCAAAUAGAACCUUGGUAGGUAACCCAUGUAUUUCAUCACUACAGCUCUGUUGCCUUGGUACUACCCCUUGGCCACUGGCACUGCAGGAUCCCAUCAUCUCUACUGAUAUCAGGGAUUCCUUUACAAUGGUAACAUCUCUUAGCUUCAUUUCCAGCCUAGGGAAGGUACACACUACAAACUUUUCAAGAUAAGGUGUUUCCCUUGUUUAAAGUACUUUUCAAUUCCUUGCUGAAAGAAAUAACCUCUUGGCAAUUUUGAAGGGCAAAAUUAGGAGGUGCAGGGAAAUGUGUGAAGUCUGGCUGCAGUGCCCAAGAGAUAAGAAUCUUCUAAGCUGGCUGUUGUCCAGACUUGCCAUCCUCAUUGUAGUAAAACACUGGCCAGGAAGACAAAAGUGCAU
rnacentral:lncRNA from 1 species